CCUGCAGGCAGUACUGUGAUAGGUGCCCCCAAUCUUUUCCGCUAAACCCUGGUGGCAGAGCCUGGAGAGGAGGCGCCGCUUUGGGAAUGAGCUGUGAGGGGCGGGUGGCUCUUGGCACCAGAAGUGGCUGGGCCGGCUUCACACCGCCUGCCCUGACACGAGGCAGCCCUGUCGCUGCCAGCAGGGGCCCCUCCAUGAGGCCCAUCUCCCAGAGUGUCAUCCACGCCCUGCACAAACCACAGAGCCGUGGCAGCCAAGGCCCUUACCCUCUCAGGUAUUGUCCCCUUUGAUAGGCUGUGAAAGGAAAGUCCCAGCCUUGGUGGCACACCUCCUGAGACGGGGCAGUCACCACCUCCAUCCCCUGCACAAUGAGAGAUACAGAGGGAAGCAUGUUUGUCCCACCCUCUGGAGCUCUGGGGCAUUCUGCUGAGCCCCUGGUACCAAGGUCACUACAGGGAGUCCUAUCUGCCCAGGGAAGUCCAUUUAAUUCAAGAAGCACUUUUUUUUUUUUUUUUUUUUUGUACAAGGAAUGGAACCCAGAGCCCUCAAACACUGAGCCACAUCCCCAGCACUUUUUAUUUUUUAUUUUGAGACAGGGUCUGCUAAGUUGCUGAGGCUAAAUUUGAACUUGCAAUC
rnacentral:lncRNA from 1 species